GACGAACGCUGGCGGCGUGCUUAACACAUGCAAGUCGAACGAUGAAGCCCAGCCUGCUGGGUGGAUUAGUGGCGAACGGGUGAGUAACACGUGAGUAACCUGCCCUGGACUCUGGGAUAACCCCGAGAAAUCGGAGCUAAUACCGGAUAGGACCUUUCCCCGCAUGGGGUUUGGUGGAAAGUUUUUCGGUUUGGGAUGGACUCGCGGCCUAUCAGCUUGUUGGUGAGGUGAGGGCUCACCAAGGCGUCGACGGGUAGCCGGCCUGAGAGGGGGACCGGCCACACUGGGACUGAGACACGGCCCAGACUCCUACGGGAGGCAGCAGUGGGGAAUAUUGCACAAUGGGCGCAAGCCUGAUGCAGCAACGCCGCGUGCGGGAUGACGGCCUUCGGGUUGUAAACCGCUUUUAGUAAGGAAGAAGGGGCUUCGGCCUUGACGGUACUUGCAGAAAAAGGACCGGCUAACUACGUGCCAGCAGCCGCAGUAAUAC
rnacentral:rRNA from 1 species